GCUUUUUUGACUUUUACUCAAAUAGUAUUUUACUGAGUGACUUUCACUUUUACUUGAGUCAAUUUCUAUUAAGGUAACUUUACUUUUACUCAAGAAUGACAAUUCGGUACUUUUUCCACCACUGUAAAAACGUUGAUCAUAAAAAUGUGCAUUACCGUAGUUUCCGGACUAUAAACCGCUACUUUAUUCCCACGCUUUGAACCUCGCGGUUUAUACAAUGACGCGGCUAAUUUAUGGAUUUUUCCCGCUUUCACAAGAUUCAUGCCGCCAAAAAACUGAGCACCGUCACAUAAUGUGACGUAAAUCGAGCGCGCUCAAACUUCCCAUCAUUUUGAUUACGGUAGUCAUUUUGUAACCCUCAUCAUGGCAAAGACACGGAGAAAUGCAUAUGAUGCAGCUGUCAAGUUGAAGGCGAUCGAUCUGGAAGUUGGAAAAGGAAAUAGAGCUGCUGCACGGGAGCUUGGCCUUAAUGAUUCGAUGAUAAGACGUUGGAAACAGCAGCGUGAGGAACUGACUCAGUGCAAAAAGACAACAAAAGCUUUCAGAGGGAAGAAAAGCAGAUGGCCCAAAGUAUUUGCAGCCACUCGACAUCAGUGUAAAUCGUGCAUUUAAGGUGGCGCUCCGUGUUCAGUGGGAGGCUUGGAUGACAAGUGGGGAGAAAUGCUUCACUAAAACGGGCCGCAUGCGAAGAGCAACUUAUGGUCAAGUCUGCCAGUGGGUGCUGACAGCGUGGAGCAUUGUCAAAAAACCCACUAUCAUCAACGGGUUUCGAAAGGCUGGACUGCUGCGUGUUGAAGGGGCAGCAUGAGCUCAGCGGGGUAUUUGCCUCCGGAAAGUGAGGAGAGCGACAAUGAAAACAAUCCAACAUCGGAUGAAGCAAUUCAACUCCGACACCGAAGGAGAUGACUUCAGUGGUUUCAGUGCACAGGAGGAGGAAGAUAGUGACCAAUGACUUUCUUGGGGGCCUGAGGCUCUUGGACUGUGACUGAGGACACCCUGGCCUGACACCUGGAUGUGCCUGACCCACUCCCCACACACCCAGAAACUUGGGUUUCAUUACUUACCAUGUGACUGAGGACACCCUGGCCUGACACCUGGAUGUGCCUGACCCACUCCCCACACACCCAGAAACUUGGGUUUCAUUACUUACCAUGUGACUGAGGACACCCUGGCCUGACACCUGGAUGUGCCUGACCCACUCCCCACACACCCAGAAACUUGGGUUUCAUUACUUACCAUAUGACUUUAUUAAAAGCGAUCUAGCCAUAAGAUCUUGAAGUGUGAGUACUUUCUCUAUGGUCAUUCUGGGUAUUGUCUGAGCCUGCUGGCCACUGAUUCUGGUAUUACCCUUUCCUUAUUGAAAUGGUGGAUAAAGGAAGACUAUGCUUUCAUUUUCAAUUCAAACACAAUGAAGACAUUGUUAGAUUGCUUUUAUACUGCCUAUCUCUCCAUCUCUCUCGCAAAUCAAAUACAGAUUUGUUCAAACUGGAUGUGUGACUUCUUUUCCCAAUGAUUUCCUAAGGCUUAUUCCAUACCAACGCUAGAUGAGGCUGAAUGGACACAACACCACACACAACCACA
ensembl:lncRNA